UAAAUAAAUUAUUACAAAGCCCAGUCGAAUUGUAAUCAAGACCCAACGUUUUGACACUCCAGUCUAGUGUCUCCAGUCUCGAAACAUUGGGUCUUGAUUACAAUUCGACUGGGCUUUGUAAUCAUUUAUUUAAA
rnacentral:miRNA from 1 species